rnacentral:lncRNA from 1 species
AAAGUAAAAAGCUUCUCAGCAAAAGAAAAAAUCAAUGAGGUGAAGAGAGAACCUGUGGAAAGUGAGCAAAUCUUUACCACAUGCACAUCAAAUAGAGCACUACUCUCCAGAAUAUAUACAGAACUCAAAAAACUUAACACCAAAACAACAACAACAACAACAAAUAACCCAAUCAAUAAAUGGGCUAAGGAAUGAAUAGACAGUUCUCAAAAGAAGAUACACAAUCGAUGAACAAAUAUACCAAAAAAAAAAAAUGUUCAACAUCCCUAGUAAUUAGAGAAAUGUAAAUCAAAACUACUCUUUAAGAUUUUAUCUCACUCCAAUCAAAAUGGCAGUUAUCAAGAAUACAGGCAACAAUAAGUGUUGCCGAGUGUUUGGGGGAAAAGGCACACUCUUUUAUUGUUGAUGAGACUGCAAAUUGGUGCAACUAAUAUGGAAAGCAGUAUGGAGAUUCCUUAGAAAACUUGGAUUGGAACUGCCAUUUGACCCAGCUAAUUCACUCUGUGGUUUAUAUACAAAGGACUUAAAAACAGCAUUUUACAGCCUCAUCAAUGUUUAUAGCAGCACAAUUCAUAAUAGUUAAAACUAUGAAACCAACAUAGAUGCCCUUCAUUAGAUGAAUGGAUAAAGAAACUGUGGCAUAUAUACACAAUGGACUAUUACUCAGCAUUAAAAGACAAUAAAAUCAUGGUAUUUGCAGGUAAAUAGAUGGAGUUGGAAAAUGUCAUGAUAAGAGAAAUAAGACAAUCCCAAAAAACCAAAGGUCAAGUGUUUUCUCUGAUAAGUGGAUGCUGAUCAAU